GUGUUGCCCCCAGCAAUAUGGCGACCGCGGUUACAAUGCCACCUAAUAGAACUCGACGGACAAUGCGGUAUCUAGCUUUCUAAUAUCUAUGGCGCCACAGGCUCACAGUUUGGGCAAGUAGUACCACGUCUUGCAGCACUCCAGCAUUGUUAGAUUCGCUCACCUGUGCACUGGAUCUGUUUUGGUUUGUAAAGGACUGCUGGCAGGUAGCGGCUGCCAGCAGCAACAGUAGAGAUGCAGUCGUCAUGGUUACAGUGGAAGCUGAACUGCUCCUCUGAGUUCUCCAGAGUCUAAGAGCUUCUGAGGAACUGAAGCCACAAGCAGCUUUAUAUCAGGAGGAGGAACGCGGGAAGGGAAGACAACAGAGCUGGAGACACGUGCCAUUAAAGUCAUUAGUGUAGUAAUUGUUCAAAAAAUAUGACUACGCCAACUAACAAAGUAAAAUACUUUACAUGCCGACUAUCCCCUCUUUAGGCUCUCUUAAAUGAGCACCUCCUAUUGACUUUGGUUGUAUUUUAAAUGUUUGUUUGGUUGUAUUUUGAAUGUUAAUUGCAAAACACAACAUUAAAAUGUCCUGGUUGACAUA